UACAGAGGUCCCAAGCGUUGUUCGGAUUCACUGGGCGUAAAGGGUGCGUAGGCGGUCGGGUAAGUCUGAUGUGAAAUCUCACAGCUUAACUGUGAAACUGCAUUGGAUACUAUCCGACUCGAGGAAUGGAGGGGAGACUGGAAUUCUCGGUGUAGCAGUGAAAUGCGUAGAUAUCGAGAGGAACACCAGUGGCGAAGGCGAGUCUCUGGACAUUUCCUGACGCUGAGGCACGAAAGCCAGGGGAGCAAACGGG
rnacentral:rRNA from 1 species